rnacentral:rRNA from 1 species
UACGUAGGUGGCGAGCGUUAUCCGGAAUGAUUGGGCGUAAAGGGUGCGUAGGCGGCCUGCUAAGUCUGGAGUGAAAGGCGGGGGCCCAACCCCCGGACUGCUCUGGAAACUGUAUAGCUGGAGUGCAGGAGAGGUAAGUGGAAUUCCUAGUGUAGCGGUGAAAUGCGUAGAUAUUAGGAGGAACACCAGUGGCGAAGGCGGCUUACUGGACUGUAACUGACGUUGAGGCUCGAAAGCGUGGGGAGCAAACAGG